CCAGUUCUGUUAUCAGUUCUUUGGAAUCCCCAGGAAGAUGAUGCCGGUUUUGUGAAUAGCCUAGUGGUAUAUGGAAUUGGGCUCUUAUUUGGAAUAAUAUGUGGGGUUAUUGCAUAUGCUAGAACUGAGAAUUCAAGCCCUCCAAAGAAGUGCCUAUUUCCUUGGCUUGCAGGAGGGUUCUUAAUGAGUGUGAUCUGGAGUUAUAUCAUAGCUCAGGAAUUGGUAGCCCUAUUAGUUUCCCUUGGAUAUAUAUUUGAAGUAAGUCCUUCAAUUCUUGGGCUAACAGUUCUUGCCUGGGGCAAUUCAGUAGGGGAUCUGAUAGCCAAUUUGACCAUGGCCUUGAAUGGCAGUCCUGAAGGUGCACAAGUAGCUAUAUCAGGGUGUUAUGCAGGUCCCAUUUUCAA
rnacentral:misc_RNA from 1 species